rnacentral:rRNA from 1 species
UGGGGAAUUUUGGACAAUGGGCGAAAGCCUGAUCCAGCAAUGCCGCGUGUGUGAAGAAGGCCUUCGGGUUGUAAAGCACUUUUGUCCGGAAAGAAAUCCUUGGCUCUAAUACAGUCGGGGGAUGACGGUACCGGAAGAAUAAGCACCGGCUAACUACGUGCCAGCAGCCGCGGUAAUACGUAGGGUGCAAGCGUUAAUCGGAAUUACUGGGCGUAAAGCGUGCGCAGGCGGUUUGCUAAGACCGAUGUGAAAUCCCCGGGCUCAACCUGGGAACUGCAUUGGUGACUGGCAGGCUAGAGUAUGGCAGAGGGGGGUUAGAAUUCCACGUGUAGCAGUGAAAUGCGUAGAGAUGUGGAGGAAUACCGAUGGCGAAGGCAGCCCCCUGGGCCAAUACUGACGCUCAUGCACGAAAGCGUGGGGAGCAAACAGGAUUAGAUACCCUGGUAGUCCACGCCCUAAACGAUGUCAACUAGUUGUUGGGGAUUCAUUUCCUUAGUAACGUAGCUAACGCGUGAAGUUGACCGCCUGGGGAGUACGGUCGCAAGAUUAAACUCAAUGAAUUGACGGGUCAUAGCUG